rnacentral:rRNA from 1 species
UACGGAGGGAGCUAGCGUUGUUCGGAAUUACUGGGCGUAAAGCGCGCGUAGGCGGCUGGAUAAGUCGAUUGUGAAAGCCCCGGGCUCAACCUGGGAAUUGCAGUCGAGACUGUUCGGCUAGAGUGUGGGAGAGGGUGGUGGAAUUCCCGGUGUAGCGGUGAAAUGCGUAGAUAUCGGGAGGUUCUUCUAAUGAGACGGCGACCACCGAGAUCUACACUGACGCUGAGGUGCGAAAGCGUGGGUAGCAAACAGG